rnacentral:rRNA from 1 species
CACCGCGGUUAUACGAGAAGCCCAAAUUGACAACAUUCGGCAUAAAGUGUGGUUAAUUAAUCUUAGUACUAAAGUCGAACCACUUCAAAACUGUUAUACGUGUUCACGAAGUUAGGGAAGCCCAACAACGAAAGUGACUUUAAACUUAAUGACUCCACGAAAGCUAGGGAA